rnacentral:rRNA from 1 species
UACGAGUGGUGCUAGCGUUAUUCGGAAUCAUUGGGCGUAAAGGGCGCGUAGACGGCGUGUUAAGUUUGCUGUUAAAUCCUUCGGCUCAACUGAAGAUCAGCGGUGAAUACUGGCAUGCUAGAGGGUGGAAGAGAGAAGUGGAAUUCUCGGAGUAGCGGUAAAAUGCGUAGAUCUCGAGAGGAACACCAAUGGCGAAGGCAGCUUCUUGGUCCAUUCCUGACGUUGAGGCGCGAAAGCGUGGGGAGCAAACAGG